AUUGAACGCUGGCGGCAUGCCUUACACAUGCAAGUCGAACGGUAACAGGUCUUCGGAUGCUGACGAGUGGCGAACGGGUGAGUAAUACAUCGGAACGUGCCUAGUAGUGGGGGAUAACUACUCGAAAGAGUGGCUAAUACCGCAUGAGAUCUACGGAUGAAAGCAAGGGAUCGCAAGACCUUGUGCUACUAGAGCGGCCGAUGGCAGAUUAGGUAGUUGGUGGGAUAAAAGCUUACCAAGCCGACGAUCUGUAGCUGGUCUGAGAGGACGAUCAGCCACACUGGGACUGAGACACGGCCCAGACUCCUACGGGAGGCAGCAGUGGGGAAUUUUGGACAAUGGGCGCAAGCCUGAUCCAGCAAUGCCGCGUGCAGGAUGAAGGCCCUCGGGUUGUAAACUGCUUUUGUACGGAACGAAAAGCCCUGGGUUAAUACCCUGGGGUCAUGACGGUACCGUAAGAAUAAGCACCGGCUAACUACGUGCCAGCAGCCGCAGUAAGAC
rnacentral:rRNA from 1 species